AAUGAACGCUGGCGGCGUGCCUAACACAUGCAAGUCGAACGAGAAAGCACCUUCGGGUGUGAGUAAAGUGGCGCACGGGUGAGUAUCACGUGGGUAACCUACCCUGAGGUCUGGGACAACACUUCGAAAGAGGUGCUAAUACCGGAUAAGACCACGCACUCCUUGGAGUGUGAGGUAAAAGAUGGCCUCUCCAUGGAAGCUAUCACCACAGGAUGGGCCCGCGGCCCAUCAGCUAGUUGGUGAGGUAAUGGCCCACCAAGGCUAAGACGGGUAGCUCGUAUGAGAGGAUGUCCAGCCACACUGGAACUGAGACACGGUCCAAACUCCUACGGGAGGCAGCAGUGGGGAAUAUUGCGCAAUGGACGAAAGCCUGACGCAGCGACGCCGCGUGAGUGAUGAAGGCCUUCGGGUCGUAAGGCUCUGUUGGACGGGAAAGAAACUGCUUAGAGAACAAUACCUCUAGGCAUUGACGGUACCCGUACAGAAAGCACUGGCCAACUCUGUGCCAGCCGCCGCGGUAAAAC
rnacentral:rRNA from 1 species